UCACAGCUUUGAAGAUAGCACUGGGCAUUUGAAGGGUUACACAACGGUUUUUAGGCCUGUUCCUGGGAUUAUUUGGGAACCAAUUCAGAAAAUAGCACUGGAAAUAUCACACCAUCUCUAGGUUCUUAGAUAUGCUUAUCAUGGAUUUCUGUGGGCAAGCAGAUAGAGUGCUUAUUUCCAGGACGGAAACAGGGGUGCUCAUUCUCCAGCUUUGAUGACCACAUCUCCAAACAAGAGAAAAUGGCUGUGUACAAAUGUUCAGUUCAGCUGGUAGAGUAGCAGCUUUCUACAGUUUACAAAAGUCGACUUGCUGUAAUUUGCUUAGAUCCACCAGAAGUAUUUUCUGAAGAAGAUGAAGGGAAGGAGAAAAAGAAGCUAAAAGAGUGACUCUCCAAGCCCCCAAACUCACACCCCACCCACCGUCCCUCAGGUCUCCAACUCCCAGUCAGUCCCAUUAAAUAAAAAGAAUCAGGAAAACCAAGGAAAGUAAAAAAGAUUCAAGUGUGAUGGAGGGAGCUGCAAUUGGGUCUCGCUUGCUUUUGUGUCGGGCGGGUUUUUGUACUGGGAGGGCCCUUACCUUUACAUGCUCCUGGAGGUACCAGAGGUACUGAAGGAAAUAGAAUCCAUGCACAACCCUAGUAUAGAGGUAAAAUAGCAGGUAACCUGAAAACUCAGACACAUCUUAUAUUUGUAAUAUUAGACCAGUAUUGGCUUUAUAGACAGGCAACUAUACCAGCCCAGAAAUUGAGACACUUUUAACCAGGGUUCUCUUUAUUGGAUUAUUCAUAUCUUUCUACAUUUCAUGGAUAAAAAUCAGGAUGUGUGUGGCCAGCAACAUCAGUGUGUGGUCAAAACAGAAAAGAUUAUUCAUGAAGAAGAACACAUAAUGCAGGAGAGGGGCAGCAAUUUGCUUUUACUUUAAAAUACUUUG